CCUACGGGUGGCUGCAGUGGGGAAUAUUGCACAAUGGGCGCAAGCCUGAUGCAGCAACGCCGCGUGAAUGAUGAAGGCCUUCGGGUCGUAAAGUUCUGUCCUAAGGGAAGAAUACAGUGACGGUACCUUAGGAGGAAGCCCCGGCUAACUACGUGCCAGCAGCCGCGGUAAUACGUAGGGGGCAAGCGUUAGCCGGAAUCACUGGGCGUAAAGGGAGCGUAGGCGGUUUGACAAGCCAGAGGUGAAAGGCAAUAGCUUAACUAUUGUAAGCCUUUGGAACUGUCGAACUUGAGUGCAGGAGAGGAAAGUGGAAUUCCUAGUGUAGCGGUGAAAUGCGUAGAUAUUAGGAGGAACACCAGUGGCGAAGGCGACUUUCUGGACUGUAACUGACGCUGAGGCUCGAAAGCGUGGGGAGCGAACAGGAUUAGAUACCCGGGUAGUC
rnacentral:rRNA from 1 species